rnacentral:misc_RNA from 1 species
GAAAUGCGAUACGUAAUGUGAAUUGCAGAAUUCAGUGAAUCAUCGAAUCUUUGAACGCAUAUUGCGCCUUCUGGUAUUCCGGAGGGUGGACUUGAGCUAUCCCAACAACCUUUAUCGGUCGGCGGGCGGCUUGAAAUGCAGGUGCAGCUGGACUUUUAUCUGAGCUAAAAGCAUAUCUAUUUAGUCCUCGUCAAACAGGAUUAUUACUUUUGCUGCAGCUAACAUAAAGGAUAAUUGUCCUCUUUGCUGACUGAUGCAGGAUUUUACGACACUUUAUGUGUUGUUCAACUCGAUCUCAAAUCAAGUAAGACUACCCGCUGAACUUAA